rnacentral:misc_RNA from 1 species
ACGGAGCUCCUCUCGUGGGCGGGAUUCCGGUGACGAUAGUUCAAAUGAUAGUUAUGACAGUGAUGAUGGAGGUCGCAAGAAGAUUAAAUCUUCGAGGAAAGUUACCGAAGAGGAAAUUAGCGAAUACUUGGCCAAGAAAGCGCAGAAAAAGGCCUUGCGAGUUGCUAAGAAAUUGAAGUCACAGACGGUUUCUGGUUAUUCUAACGAUUCGAAUCCAUUUGGCGAUUCGAAUCUGAAUGAAAA